rnacentral:rRNA from 1 species
AAACGACUCUCGGCAACGGAUAUCUCGGCUCUCGCAUCGAUGAAGAACGUAGCGAAAUGCGAUACUUGGUGUGAAUUGCAGAAUCCCGUGAACCAUCGAGUCUUUGAACGCAAGUUGCGCCCCAAGCCUUCUGGCCGAGGGCACGUCUGCCUGGGUGUCACGAA